rnacentral:rRNA from 1 species
GUGACUGCGUACCUUUUGUAUAAUGGGUCAGCGACUUAUAUUCUGUAGCAAGGUUAACCGAAUAGGGGAGCCGGAGGGAAACCGAGUCUUAAUUGGGCGUUAAGUUGCAGGGUAUAGACCCGAAACCCGGUGAUCUAGCCAUGGGCAGGUUGAAGGUUGGGUAACACUAACUGGAGGACCGAACCGACUAAUGUUGAAAAAUUAGCGGAUGACCUGUGGCUGGGGGUGAAAGGCCAAUCAAACCGGGAGAUAGCUGGUUCUCCCCGAAAGCUAUUUAGGUAGCGCCUCGUGAAUUCAUCUCCGGGGGUAGAGCACUGUUUCGGCUAGGGGGCCAUCCCGGCUUACCAACCCGAUGCAAACUGCGAAUACCGGAGAAUGUUAUCACGGGAGACACACGGCGGGUGCUAACGUCCGUCGUGAAGAGGGAAACAACCCAGACCGCCAGCUAAGGUCCCAAAGUCAUGGUUAAGUGGGAAACGAUGUGGGAAGGCCCAGACAGCCAGGAUGUUGGCUUAGAAGCAGCCAUCAUUUAAAGAAAGCGUAAUAGCUCACUGGUCGAGUCGGCCUGCGCGGAAGAUGUAACGGGGCUAAACCAUGCACCGAAGCUGCGGCAGCGACACUCAGGUGUUGUUGGGUAGGGGAGCGUUCUGUAAGCCUGCGAAGGUGGCCUGUGAGGGUUGCUGGAGGUAUCAGAAGUGCGAAUGCUGACAUAAGUAACGAUAAAGCGGGUGAAAAGCCCGCUCGCCGGAAGACCAAGGGUUCCUGUCCAACGUUAAUCGGGGCAGGGUGAGUCGACCCCUAAGGCGAGGCCGAAAGGCGUAGUCGAUGGGAAACGGGUUAAUAUUCCCGUACUUGGUGUUACUGCGAAGGGGGGACGGAGAAGGCUAUGUUGGCCGGGCGACGGUUGUCCCGGUUUAAGCGUGUAGGUGUGUGUUCCAGGUAAAUCCGGUUCACUUUAACACUGAGGCGUGA